UACGUAGGGGGCAAGCGCUGUUCGGAAUUACUGGGCGUAAAGCGUGCGCAGGCGGUUCGUUGUGUCCGAUGUGAAAGCCCCGGGCUUAACCUGGGAAUGGCAUUGGAAACUGGCGAGCUUGAGUGCGGCAGAGGGGGGUGGAAUUCCGCGUGUAGCAGUGAAAUGCGUAGAGAUGCGGAGGAACACCGAUGGCGAAGGCAGCCCCCUGGGUCGACACUGACGCUCAGGCACGAAAGCGUGGGGAGCAAACAGG
rnacentral:rRNA from 1 species